AUAAAAACAUCAACCAGUGAAUGAACACAUUGGGAAGUUCAGCGGUGUUUUAGUUUUUAACAUAACUUUUCAGUAUGCCAAAAGUCUUAAAGUGAACAUGACUUUUGGGCCCCAGCACCACUCCGAGUUUAUCCCAAAGAAAUCAGGGUUGUGAGCAAAAAUUUAUAGAUUUGGAAAAAAAUAUAAACUCAAGUGUCUAGCAAGAGUAUUAAGGAAUUAAUGAUAGAUACCUUUAUGUGAUGGAAUUCUAUGCAGCCGGCAUUGUAAGAGCAUUCGUCGGAGAACUUGACGUAUUUGUAAGUGGAAAAGGGAGAGUCCAAAUCAGAAUAUGCCUUUUAUUAAACCGAAGUAUUGUACUGAUACACAUAAAAAUUCAUUUUCUUUGUGUAUUUCACGUUUGAAAUCAUAUUUUACAUUUAUAUUAUAAAUUAUACAUAAUUUAAUAGUUGUGAACUACACUGUAUCCUUCCUUGUAUAUACACAUGGUUCUGAUCAUCGGAGGAUGGGGGCGAAGCUGUAUUACACAGAGCCAGUGCAUGAGACAGUGGUGGGGAUCUGGAUGCUGAGGACACAAACUGCAGACGCAUCCUCCGGCAUUCCAAGAGUUCACUUGUGUCUGUGUCUGAGGAGACCCGAAGACUUCCUGGGGUCACCAAACUGUGGAAUUCCCUCUUGUUAUCAGAAUGCAGCUUUAGAAGCCCUUGGCAGGGCAUAUAAGCACUGAGUGCACAGCAUAAAGUCUUGAGGAGAAUACAAAGCCCGAUGACGACUGGCGAGGCGAACACUCGGAGUCAGCCGGGAUGGCUCUACGCUCGGUGUCAGCACUGUUUGUGAAAACAGACUCUCUUACUAGUCUCUGCCACAAAAACUUGUUCUCAGAGUGAGGGAUGAAGUGAGAAGAGCCUCGCUCUGGAUCAUAUGCCAGUCUCUCGUAACGAAUAAAACAUUCCCUUGGGUCCCUGCUGGAAAACGGUGAAGGCAGAGGCAGAGAAGAGCGGCUGGCAGCCUGGGGAGGCGUCGGCUUCCGGAAGCACGGCGCCCCUCUCAUUACAGCCUAGGCUGUCCCACUGCUUCUCUUGCUCCCCUCUGUAGCCGGGAAUGCUGUUUUCCACCCGUGAGCAGACGCCUGUGAGGCCUCUGGGGCACCUGAGCCCCGGUUCACUGCUCCUUGGCCUGUCCGUAUUCUCUUUCUGUCUCACAAGACUCCCCGCAUCGCCUGCUACGUGCGUCUCCUCCAGAAGUUGUCACGUGUGCCCUGCAGCACACAGCCACGUCCCUCAGUACCUGCCUCUCUACCUUUAUCACCCACUCUGCCCCGGGACCUGGCCAGUCUUCCACUGGGUUCCGAUUCCAGCUCACUGCUUGUCCACCCUAUGCUGCCACAAACCAUUAGCCCCGCUCCUGUUAAUUGGGCAAAAUUCCAGUUUUAAAAAGGAAACAUGAGACAGUUAUUAAGGACCUCCACCUUCCCAUUAAAAGGUGACCAGCAGUCAGCAGACUGAGGCAUAAUUUGAAAGUGUUUACAAAAAUUGCGGAAAAAUGAAAUUGUGAUAAAUUUAAUGCUCAAGUA